UACGGAGGGGGUUAGCGUUGUUCGGAAUGACUGGGCGUAAAGCGCGCGUAGGCGGGCUGGAAAGUUGGGGGUGAAAUCCCGGGGCUCAACCCCGGAAUGGCCUUCAAAACUCCCAGCCUAGAGUUCGAGAGAGGUGAGUGGAAUUCCGAGUGUAGAGGUGAAAUUCGUAGAUAUUCGGAGGAACACCAGUGGCGAAGGCGGCUCACUGGCUCGACACUGACGCUGAGGUGCGAAAGCGUGGGGAGCAAACAGG
rnacentral:ncRNA from 4 species